rnacentral:rRNA from 1 species
CAACACAAGAAGGCCCUUGCUUCGGUUAUGAUGCUCGUCUCCUGGGAAAUCUGGAAGGAACGAAAUGCAAGCGUUUUUCGCAACAUGGUUGCUCCGACAACGAUUGACGUCAGCAAAAUUGAUGAGGAAGCCCGCCUCUGGGCGCUUGCUGGAGGCAAGCAUUUGAUUCUACUUAUGUCGCUAGAGUCGAACUUUACUUUUUGCCGCUUUACGGCUUAUGUCUAA